GACUUACAUUUCUAGCUUAAAUUCCUAGGAAUUUAAGGCCAGGAAGAUGGCUUCAUGCAUGUUAAGACGUGCAAAAGAUUUAUUUUUCCUAUGAUUUUUCUUCCUCAAGUAGUCAUUGGUAGGAAUUCUUGCUUUUCGUUUACACCUGUAAGAAUAUUAACAGACCAGAAAACAUGUGUUCAUUGGCUCUUACACUAUGUUAGGCACUGAAGCAGAUAAUUUAAAGGUUAAAAAUAUAUAAUAGUGGCUUUUUAUUCAUUCAUCCAAGCAAUAUUUACUUGAAUGCAUAUCAUGUACCAGGCAUCUGCUAGGGACUGGAUAUUUUUAAAAAAUAAUAAAACAAAAUAACAGCAAAAAAAAAAAAAAAAAAAAAACUAAGCUAGAUUGGGUCUCCUUUCUUAAGUUGUCUCCAGUCUAAAACCUUACUGUCUAAGUCAACAGUUCUCAAUCCCUUCUGAUUUUGCCCCCCAGAGGACAUUUGACAGCGUCUGGGGAAAUAUUCAGUUACCACUGCUAGGAGGAAUGGGGGAUGCUAUGGAAUGUAAUGGGCAGAAGCCAGCAAUGCUGCUCAACUUCUAAUAAAAUACAAUUCAGCCCCCAACAACAAAGAAAUUAUCAGACUCAAAUGUCGGUAGUGUCGAGGUUGAGAAAUCUGGCAAACCCACUGGGCUAUUCCUUACACAGAGAGCACUUUCUCCAUGUGUGAAUUAAACAAAGCCAGCUUUAAAGCCACCUCCUGCCCUCCCUCUAUUAGGUGGGUUUGGAAUAUUGAAGGGUCCCUCCCUAGCUGAGGGGAGAAUACAUGUUAUCCCCACUCCUCACCAUCACUUAGGUGGGGUGGCACUGUUCAGCAGAAGGUCAGCGAUUCUGUCGUCAGCCCAGACCAGAGACAUGUCCUGUUAAAUAAGUCUGCCCGAGAGAGAGGACGUGAGACUCUUCCUCUCUAUUAGAAGCAGCCAAACUUCUAUAGUCAAGGCCGGUUAAGCACAAAUCCUUUCAAACAAUAUUACUAAAAGACAAUGACACUCAUAAUUUAAGCAUAGUAUUUGCACCUAAAUUGAAACUACCAUAAAAAAUUCUAUUGUUUUACUUCUGUGUAAGUACUAACUACAAAGUCUGAAAGAAAAAGUAACCUUACAGUCAUGCUGUUCAAUGUAGCUACUAGCCACAUGCUGCUGUUUAAAUUAGUUGACAUUAAAUAAAAUGUCAAAUUUAUUCGUCAGUUGCACUAGUCACAUUUUAAGUGUUCACUAGCCAUGUGACUACUGGCUACUGAAUUGGACAGUAUGGGUAUAGGACAUUUCUGUCAUCACAGGAAGUUCUAUUGGACAGCAUUGUCUUAUAAGGCUCCACUUCAAAGGAUUCUUAUCAAUAUGCACAGUUAUUUCUUUAAAAAAGGCUUGUUUCCUAGCAACUGAGACACUGGGGCUAUGCUUUGCAUUAUCUCAUUAUCAUGGUCUGUUAGAAAGACACAGACAUGUUCUGCUGGGGGGACCACCUCUCUUCUGACAUGAAAUUUUUGUGAAGGGUUUAUGUAAUAGACAUGGGACAAUGUAUCAGAUGAUUGAAACUAUGAUUUUCCAGAAGAUGUAACAACGUAAAAUUCAAAUAGGUAACUCCUGUAAGGCAUUUCUGAUCUAAGUCAAGUGUGUAUUGUUAAAUAUUAAUUCCAUUAAAGUAUGUCAGCAGGGAAUUAAGAUAUGUGACCCAAAUAUAUUUCUAUUUAGUAGCUGAGUGUAAUAGAGAAGUAGUGCUCAGUGCAUCUCAACUGAAGAAGAGCUGGGAUGAAGGGAAGAGAGGAGGUUCAGAAUAUUUGGAAAAGAUUCUCCAUGUUAUUUUAAUGCACCCAAUCCAGGUAAGUAUAGUGUAGAGAUAUGGAAAGGAUAAUUGAUUUACCUUUCACUACUGUAUGAUUGUGGGGAGGGGGAAAGGCUGUGACUUUUAAAAGUCCCUCCCUUUAGAAAUUUUGAUUAAGUACAACUUUGAGUGGGGCUUAGAUAUUCACUCCAUUCUCUGUUGCUGUCUUUCCUUUCAAUGACCUACCUGUCUAUCCCUCCCCACCUGGUUAUUUAGGAUGAUCAACUGGCUUUAGAACAAUGACCUUAGGCAAUUGUUCCUAGUAUCAAGAGUCUCUAGCAAACUUUUGCAAACUGCAUAUCACAAUCUGUUCUUGGCUGCAUUUUUUUGAUCAGUGCCUGAAGUGAUGAUAUGUGUGCUUACUAAUCAAAACAAGUGUCUCAUGCACAGAGGAUGCAUUACCCAGAGAGGACACUCAACUGAAGAAAUUCAGGAAUCCAUUUACUACUUUUGCUCAGGCUGAAAGGCACCCCACUUCCACAGAAAGGUUCGCUAUGACUGUGUGAGCAGGGCUAAAAAUGUUCCCCUAAAGGACCUAUUCAAGCCAUUGGAUAACUCUUCAUGUAGAGAACCUAGAGUUUGGUAAUAGAGCUUUGUCCAUUUUUGUUAAUGUUAGAAAGCCAUUACUAGCCAUAGGGAAACCUAUCAGGCCAUCAGAAUGACACCUUGCUCUGCUCAUAGGUACAAAACUUCAACACUCUUCCGCCUUACCCAUAUUUAAGUCUCAAACUUUCACAUCAUGUUUUCAAGAUACGCUAGCCCUGAAUGGGUUUAUGUUUUUCACUUUCAUUUUCUCAAGUUGAUUUGGAAUAGCCUUGCUCCAUCCUUUUGUUUUCCUCAUUCCUGGUUUCAUAUUUUCUCCUGGUAGAAAUCUUUUCCCCCCGUAAUAUGUAAAAUGUUGAUCACUUGGAGUUUUUAAAGAAUAAGGUGGAACUCACAUCAUUGCGUAACCAUCCAGAAUGUACAUUCUUUUUGGUAGCAUGAUGUACAGCAUAUGACAUUAGAACAAAAUAUCCCACCACCCCCAGAAAAUGUCCAACCUUAGCUUCCUUCUCUUUUUAAGGACCUAAGAGCCUGGUGGUUGAUGAUGGAAGAGAUGAAACUGUGAAGAGACUGAAGAAGCUAGUUCAUCAAUAGUUAAGAAUCCAUUUCUAAAAGAUCUUAGUGAAUAUUUCUUCUUUGAGUCUACCUUUGCCUGGGAUGUCAAGAGAUCAUGAACUGGCAGCCAUGUGGAAGGAAGACUAGACUGAGAAUCACUUAGGAUCCUGCCCUCGGUUUAGUCCAGAAUACUCUGCCAAUCAGCUUUUUGGCCGCAGAUGGACAUUUAGGUUGGUUUCAUCUCUUGGCUACUGUGAAUAACGCUGCAAUGAACACUGGGAUGCAGAUAUGGGGAAAAGAUUUCAUGCUUAGGUGGUGUCUUGGUGUUUCUGUGACCCAAGCAAGGAGUUCCUGUGACUGUGUCGCACUGUUUCUUCUUCACACGGCUGGAAAUACGAUCGCCUCUCAAGGCCUAUCACAAAGGACUGGCCCUUUGCUACGGGUCGGCAAUAGCAAGGAGUGUUGCCAAGAUACAACACAAAACAAAACCUUUAGGUCUCCCUCUGGGUUUCUGGAACAGCUGUCUCUAGCUCAGCUGCUGAAGUUUCAACUCCUUCAUUGAAAUCCAAACACAUCUGUACCCCAGACAGGAAAAUGCCUAGUAAGUUAUUUUCCUCCAUGCUGGUUCGUCUUGUGGUUUUUGUGCAGCCCUUAAAGACAGUGUGAGUGCUGAGGACCUCAACAGGUCCUUUGCAAGGACAGAGGUGCACCCGGUGAUGGGUCACUCGUGGAGAAAAGUGUCAUGACACCUGGAUGUUCACAACCCUCAGGCUGUUCACAGCUUGCCAUGGCUUUGAAACAUCGUGUGGAGCUCAGACAAAUUCAGGCCUCACUGAAGUGUUUUCCUCAUGCAGGCAACCUACAUGCCUUCUCUUUCAUCUUUUUAUGAUUAUUUGGCAGAAUCCUUUUUUUAUUCAUUUAAUUUCAGAGCACAACAGUGAUAUUUAUCCCUUUAUUUAUAUGUCAGUUACCUGCGUUCAAAUGUCAAUUUUUAGUAUUGUGACUUGCUGUUUUAGGAAAUACUAUUUCAAACCAAAAUGUAUUCUUUCUUUUUUUUUUUUUUUAAAGGGUGAUUGUAGUGUCAAGUCAAACUUAACUCAUGUUCUAGGUAGAAGAGGUAAAAACAAAACGUUUUCCCUCCUUCAUAAUUAGGUUAUCUCUGCAGGUUCCUUUUCCAGACAGGAAAAACCCUUUCAGGGUAAUGGAGACCCAUGUUAUGGGUUCAUGGAACAGCAGGUUCUUCCCUUCCUGGGAAUACUUCCUAGCAGUGUGGACUCCAUGCUGGGCACUUCCACCAUGACCUGCAAUCUUGAGGCUUCUCUUAGAACUUGGUGCUCCAGAAUCACUGCAGCCUCGCCGGUUCUCCUGUAUCCUUCCUUCCUUGCCUCCUUCUUUAUUUAUUUAUGCUAACCAAAUGCCAUAGUUAACCAAGUCCUGUUCCUUGAGGAUUACUUCAGAUGCGUGUAGUUAUUUAUUUUAAUAUCUAAUUCCAUAUUCUAAAUAGAAUACUACCUCUACACACUUCUAUUAUGGUAGAUAACAAUUUCUCCCUUAAGUCCCUUUUCCCUUCCUUUAUCCUUCCAGUUUAUUACAUCGCAGUUUUCAAGAUUUGCAUUAUUCUGACAAUGGAAAUAUUUUCUGCUGAGCUAAGGAGCAUACUAUCAUUAUAACUCCUUUCUUGUUCUAUUAUCAUUUUUUCUAGAGCUGAUAAUUCACUCAUUUAAAAAAUGACUUAGUUUUCUCUGUCUGUGUUACUGUCUUUGCUUCCCCUAACAUUUGGCAAUAUUCAAGACAUUGUUUUCAUCACAGUAUCAGUGCCGCAUUUAAUUUUUUUAUAACUCUAUAAGGCAGGUAACUAUAAUCUGUGUUUUACAGAUGGGAAGCAUGAAGCACAGAGAAAUUAAUUGGCUCACAUAAGAUGGGAAGUGGCAGAGCCAGGACUUGAACCCAGGCAGUCUGAUUCCUGCACUCACGUUCCAAAGCACAAGACAUACAGUAUCUCGAUGUAUAACUACCUACAUUAGCAGCUGUACCACCUAAUCUAAUUAGUUGAAUUUUUUUUUUUUUUUAAUGGAGCUCUUCCUCCAUAUGUCUCUGGACCCUUGUUGCAUCUGUAUUGCUUGUUUUCUAAACCUAUGUAUGGUUAUCAUAUUAAGACUUAUUUUCAUUAUUGUCCAGGGAAUUUCUUUCGUCUUCCUCCUGUGUUGAUUCCUUAUUUUCUGGAUAUUGUUUUGUCUUUCUUGCAUUAGGUGAAGCUCAUCUUUUAGAAGACUUCUUGAGAAAAGGUGCGUGGGUGAAGAUUUCUUAAAUCUUAAAUGUCGGAAAACAUUUGUAUUUUUCCUUGCUAGUACUGAGUAUUUACUGCCAUUUUAUUCUUGGUCUUGUGUUUGUGACCUAUUGUUUCCUUUCUUGAAAGUUUUACUGUCUUCCUGGUGUACUGAAGUUUUAUGACACAGCUGGGUCUUUUUGCAUUUAUUGUGCUAGAUGCUGAAUAGGCCUUUUCAAUCUGGGGACUCAUGUUCUUCAGGUCCAAAAAAUUUUCCCAUAAUCUUUUUCUUGAUAUAUUUUUUUCUAGAUCCUAUUGGUAGGAUGUUGGGCCUGCUGCACUGGGCUUUUAGUUUCUUCUGAUUUGUCUUCUAUUUUUUUCUUAAUAUUUUGAGAUAUUUCCUUACCUUUAUUUUCCAAAUCUUACACUCACAUGCACACA